CAGUUUAGAAAUUAACAAAAUAAGACAAGAAUUUUUCUUUUUUUAAAAAAUGUAACGAAUACACACAUUUGCUUAAGGUGUACAGUUUACUACUUCUUUUACCCGCGUACCCCACACUACCAUGUCAGCACCCAAGCGAAGAGCUAUGGAACAGUUUUAUUUAUAUUUAUUUAUUUAUUUUAAGAUGGGAUUUCACCAUGACAGCCGGGCUGGUUUUGAACUCCUGGCCUCAGGUGAUCCACCCACCUCGGCCUCCCAAAGUGCUAGGAUUACAGGUGUGAGCCACUGUGCCUGGCGGGAACAUUUUUAUUUUUUACAUCCUGUUUAUGUUCUUUCACUUCUCCAGAACCAAGAACCUCCAGCACUUUGUUGACUGCAAAUGGUGAGAGCAGACAUCUUUGGUUCAUCUUUGGUUCCGACCUUAGAGGAAAAGCAUUCAUUGUUUCACACUUGGGGCCUGGCAGCUUGCAGAGCCAGCAGAUUCAACGUUAUUUGGCUGUCCAGUGGAAAGGCGCACAUGGGAAGAACGCCGUGUGAGGAGAGGAGUAAUGCUGUCACAAGCCAGUGGACCAUCAGAAGCUGGAGAGAGGCCUGGGACAGGUGCUCCCUCAGGGCCUCAGAAGGAAUCGGCCCUGCCGGCAACUUGAUCUUGGACUUCUAGCCUCCAGGAUGGUGAGACAACAACUUUCUGU
rnacentral:lncRNA from 1 species